CACACACUCCUGUAUGCACGGCUGAAAGAGGAACAGUGACAGGAUGGACAAAGAGUGGCAGACACAGAGACGGGAUGAACCAUUCAAGUUUCAACUUUAGAGUGUGGCUCGAGACAGGAGUAUAAAACUGACCUCCCAGGGAGGUUUCUACAAUCCCUGCAACCUGUUGAUCGUGAGAGUGAAGUCUGUCUGUUGUUCAAAUGCUGUGUGCUACUGACACUAGAAUACUGUCCUGUUGUGAGGUCUGCCUCUGUCGACUGGCUGGCUUCAUUACAAAGGUCAGAUGUAAAUGAUUCCUUUGAAUGAGAUGAAAUCAUUUCUGUCUACCGUUACGCUUGCCUGCUCAUUUCUCUGCUUGAUUUAGAGAUCAGUGUUGACACCCAUAACUACUAAAUUGUUUUUGUCUACUUGUUUGUCUGCCUUCUCAACCGUCUCCUCGCAGACAUCCUUCAUUUGUGUGUGUAUCUUGUGUGUGUGUGUGUGUGUGUGUGUGUUUCUAUGUCCAUCCGUUCGUUUGAGUAUCUCUGCAAGACAUAGCUGGCAGCACAAAAUGUAACCAGAGGUGAUAAAAACUUUUAGACAAGCAGCACCGAGCCAUUAUGGUCGGGCUGAAGCAAGACUGGAGCCGCUCAAACAUUCCUCUCAUUGUUUAGAGGCCCUGUAAGUCUGCAAGCUCCCAAACCUCCAUGAAAGGAAGGGAAUCCAGCAGCUACUGUAUCUAACCCACAUUCACAGGAACUUUAGGGCCUGCCAUCUUCUCUCUUCCUGAUCACUGCUUCCCUCCAUUGGUGCUGCCAGUCAGUGGAGGGUAUAUGAACUGUAGUAAUGGAGGUAAUGCCGAGUCGGAUGCACUAAGGAGAGAUCGGGCUUAAUUUGGUAGUCUGUGGCAGAGCUUUUCCAUAUAAGUGAAUGAGACUUUAGAUAACCUGUCAACCAAAGGACAUGGGAAUACGAGAUGGGGGUUAGGGGUUUUGUUGUCUUGGCUUUUGCAGUAGUGGGUUGUUGGGCUUGAUAAAUGAAUAAAGAGACAGAGGUUAGGAGAGAAGGUGGG
rnacentral:lncRNA from 1 species